AGAAAGAUUAUAUUUAUUUAUUUGACAGAGAGAGCCCACGAGGGCAGGAACACAAAUGGGGAAUGUGAGAGGAAGAAGCAG